rnacentral:rRNA from 1 species
UGGGGAAUUGUUCACAAUGGGCGCAAGCCUGAUGACGCAACGCCGCGUAGGGGAUGAAGGUCUUCGGAUCGUAAACCCCUGUCGAAUGGGACGAAAGACUCGCGAGUGAAUACUUCGCGAGAGUGACGGUACCGUUAAAGGAAGCCACGGCUAACUCUGUGCCAGCAGCCGCGGUAAUACAGAGGUGGCAAGCGUUGUUCGGAAUUACUGGGCGUAAAGGGCGCGUAGGCGGCCCUCUAAGUCAGACGUGAAAUCCCCCGGCUUAACCUGGGAACUGCGUCUGAUACUGGAGGGCUUGAGUAUGGGAGAGGGAUGUAGAAUUCCAGGUGUAGCGGUGAAAUGCGUAGAUAUCUGGAGGAAUACCGGUGGCGAAGGCGGCAUCCUGGACCAUUACUGACGCUGAGGCGCGAAAGCUAGGGGAGCAAACGGGAUUAGAUACCCCAGUAGUCCCUGAGCGGGCUGGCAAGGCGCAU